rnacentral:tRNA from 1 species
GGCUACGUAGCUCAGCUGGUUAGAGCACAUCACUCAUAAUGGAUGGGGUCACAGGUUCGAAUCCCGUCGUAGCCACCA